AGAGUUUGAUCCUGGCUCAGAAUGAACGUUGGCGGCGUGGAUUAGGCAUGCAAGUCGAGCGAGAAACCCCGCAAGGGGUGGAAAGCGGCGAAAGGGACAGUAACACGUGGAUUAUCUACCCCUCGAUCUGGGAUAGCUGCGGGAAACUGCAGGUAAUACCAGAUGAUGUCUUCGGACCAAAGGUGUAAUUCCGUCGAGGGAUGAGUCCGCGUCCUAUUAGCUAGUUGGUAAGGUAACGGCUUACCAAGGCCAUGAUGGGUAGCGGGUGUGAGAGCAUGACCCGCGUCACUGGGACUGAGAUACUGCCCAGACACCUACGGGUGGCUGCAGUCGAGGAUCUUCGGCAAUGGGCGCAAGCCUGACCGARCGACGCCGCGUGUGGGAUGAAGGCCUUCGGGUUGUAAACCACUGUCGGAGGGGAUGAAAUGCCCUGGGGUUCUCCCCAGGGCUUGACAUAGCCUCAAAGGAAGUACGGGCUAAGUUCGUGCCAGCAGCCGCGGUAAGACGAACCGUACGAACGUUAUUCGGAAUCACUGGGCUUAAAGGGUGCGUAGGCGGCGCGGAAAGUUGGGUGUGAAAGCCCUCGGCUCAACCGAGGAAUUGCGCCCAAUACUACCGUGCUUGAGUGAGAUAGAGGUGAGCGGAACUUAGGGUGGAGCGGUGAAAUGCGUUGAUAUCCUAAGGAACACCGGUGGCGAAAGCGGCUCACUGGAUCUUUUCUGACGCUGAGGCACGAAAGCUAGGGGAGCAAACGGGAUUAGAUACCCCGGUAGUCC
rnacentral:rRNA from 1 species